rnacentral:tRNA from 1 species
GCCCCCAUCGUCUAGAGGCCUAGGACGUCGCCCUUUCAAGGCGGAAGCACGGGUCCGAAUCCCGUUGGGGGUG